AGCAGCCGCGGUAACUCCAGCUCCAAUAGCGUAUAUUAAAGUUGUUGCAGUUAAAAAAGCUCGUAGUUGAAUUUUCGGGACCAAUAUGUCGGUCGUGCCUCGGUACGUACUGGUGUUAUUGGUUUCUCUCUUCUGAGGAUCCUUGAUGUCAUUAAUUUGGUGUCUUGGGAAAUCAGGACUGUUACCUUGAAAAAAUUAGAGUGUUUAAAGCAGGCAUACGCUUGAAUACAUUAGCAUGGAAUAAUGAAAUAGGACGUUCGAUUCUAUUUUGUUGGUUUCUAGGAUCGACGUAAUGAUUAAUAGGGAUAGUUGGGGGCAUUAGUAUUCAAUUGUCAGAGGUGAAAUUCUUGGAUUUAUUGAAGACUAACUACUGCGAAAGCAUUUGCCAAGGAUGUUUUCAUUAAUCAAGAACGAAAGUUAGGGGAUCGAAGACGAUCAGAUACCGUCGUAGUCUUAACCAUAAAACUAUGCCGACUAGGGAUCGGAUGAUGUUAAUUUUUUAGUGACUCAUUCGGCGCCU
rnacentral:rRNA from 1 species